UUAUUUCUAUCUAAAAAUCUA
rnacentral:piRNA from 1 species